rfam:Schistosoma haematobium scaffold1263_10, whole genome shotgun sequence.
AUUCAGGUGACGAGUCCCAAAUAGGACGAAACGUGCUUCCUGGAU